UAGAUAGAUAGAUAGAUAGAUAGAUAGAUAGAUAGAUAGAUAGAUAGAUAGAUAGAUAGAUAGAUAGAUAGAUAGAUAGAUAGAUAGAUAGAUAGGCAACGACAACUUUUAACACUGUGAAUGAGAACGGUUGAGAAUAUCAGGAAGCCCAAAAGCCUGGCUUAGAUAUUUAUUUUGGUAAGAAAAAACUGCAUAAAUACAUUUGGAUUUAUACAUAUAAUUUGUACUUGCCCAAGCUUUUCUCUUUUUUGCUGAAAUCGUAGUUUCUCACAAAACAUUAGCAUUUCUUUAUUAUGACUCGUUGAUACACCUUUAGAGAAAAAUGGGUAAUUAAAAAGCCAAUACCUCUUGCAGUUUCUGGAAAUUUGCUUAUUAUUGAUCCCUUUUCUCUUCUCCUGCUGUGAACCAGAUGCGUUUCUCUAUUGAUCUCACAUCACACUGUGCAGUGUACCGGCACAGUAUUUUUAAAUCUAAAGCUAUUACGUAUCGAUCUCAAAAAACUUUAGAUUUUUUUUCCUUCAAAAUACAUACAAGUUAGUUUGAAGGAGAAUUAUUUUCAGCUCAAAGCGAUAUUCGACUUACUGGGGUAUUAAUUGCUACAUUCAUACAGAAAAUGAAAUAGUUUUCAUUAAUGUAUUCCAAGUUAUACUGCAGCGUUCAUGUGUACCAUUAGCACAAAGGGCAUUCUUGGCUAAUUUUGCUUUUUAAACAAAUCCUUUACUCCGUCAGCAUCAUUCCUCUGAAGGUGUUUGAAAUGUUCUGGGUAUGCAGCCACCACAGUGAGAUUUCAAGCCUGAUUUACAUGAUUUCUAUAUAUGGCUCUCACUUCAAGGUACACCCAUUGCGGUUUUGAUACAGAGAUGCUUUGUUGUUAGGAAACGAGGAAAAAAAGACCACAAAACAAAAACAAAAAGUCUAUUUCUGUCAUAAGACAACCCUCUACAGUCUUGCGGAUGUCAGAAGUUGAAAUUACAAGACCAAGGCGGUGAGCGCUGCAGCUCUCUCCUGACAGAAGGAAGAGAAAUAAACAGCAGUGGCUCACAGGAAAACACAUUGCCAGUAAGCACAAGUGAUACAUUUGGCAAGAUGUCCACUGUUUUUAAAUGACAGCUAGGGGUCUGUCACUUUGUUCUUACUGUAGAAUCCAUUAGUCAUGUUUAGACUGCAGCUUUUGUCUCUAUUUUUAUGUACUUGUGGUACCCCAUCUUUCCACUGUACUGUUGUGUGUGCCACCAUUUUCUUCACAGUUUUAUUUUUCUAUUAUUUAAGUAAGAAUGGCAUUUGUAAAUAUCUAAUAAGGGACAGGGAGUCAUUUAAAGUAACAACACAAAAAAGUCAUUGUUUGAUUUUAAUGUAGUUCAUUUUAUCAUGGAUUAUAAAUUAAAGUAAUUAAGUUUUUUGUGUAAUCUAUUUAAAUUUAAUAUCCUUUCACACAACAAAGCUAGCAAGAACUUUAACUUGUGUGCGCAUGAAAGACUCUAUGUAUGAAUAUGUCAUAAAGUUUUAUAGAGCCUCAGCCAGCCAGGUUUAUAAAUAUGCAUGAUAUAUUUAUUUUUUUUAUUUAAGAGACUUCCCAGUGUUUGGGAAGUUUUCCAAGAAAAGGUGUUAUGGAUCACAACGUUGCUGCACAAGGAUAACUGACAGAGAGACAUUCUUGCAGUUGUUCAAAAGAGCACAAGAAGUAAAACAAAAGAAGAACAUUGUCUGUGAUUCUGCAUGUAUGUUCACACCCUUUAUCAGUGGUAGAAGAAGUGGGUGGUCACACACUGAGGUGAAAACUCACACCUAGGAUUUAAACACUUGCAGCAGAUCUGUAGUUCUGUGCCAACAAUCAAAAUACUAUGUUUACUGCAGGUUAGUGUGCAGGCUGUUUUUAAUCAUUUUGAUUAUUUUUUUAUUCAAAUUCAUUAAAUAAUUGACUGGAAUUUAAUAAAGAAGAUGAAUAAAAACAUUAUGAUAAUACUAACAUUUCAACAGUAAGUUACCCUAUUUUCUUAUAUAAACUUGAAUCUAGACAUAAAGCUUUUGUACUCUUCAGUGUUCCAAAGGUUAAUAAACUGCUGUUUGAAAAAUCCUUUAUUGUCACUGAAAUGAUCUAGUUGGGUUAGUUCAUACCUCUGUCACGUACCCUUAUUCCACACCCACUUUGUUAUUUUGUUCUAACCUACUUGCAUUUGUACACAUAAAAAGGCAUUUCAGAUCCAUGUAUAUAAGCAUUGCAUUAGUUUGUUACUCCUCUUAUUUAAGUAGUUUUAGGAAUUGUGACAAUGAAUGUUCAUGAAAAUGAACUGAUCUCACAUAGAAUAAAAUUUUAUUCUAUACUAUUUUCUUAAUAUUUCGUGUUGCACCCUAUUUCCAUUGCUUAUGCUUAUGAUCCUAUUUAGGGGCAGUCAACCGUUAUGAAACAUUGGAGAUUAUGACCCUGAUCUAGCCAAACGAAACCCUGAGCAACCUCUUCUAGUAUGAUAAUCAUGUUCAAAGGUCCAAAUCUGAAAAGGUCAAAGGUCGAAAACAAGAACUUUCUUAUGUUUGCUUUGAACUUACAAGCAAACAAAAUGGCACCUAAUGCCUAAAAUAUUUCGUUUGUCACCCUAAGCUGCUGUAAUAUUUUAGAGUAAAAUGUAAUGAGCACACUGAUUUUAUAGAAGCAAUUAUUUUAAAGAUCUUAUUCGAUCACUGUGCCUCGACAAAUAGGUGCAUUUCUUAAAACACAAAAAUAAACAAAAAAAAUAAACCGAACCUAAAGUGCAACAAGACAACCUAACAAAAACAACUGAGUAUUAUUAAAUAAUCAAAUUUUCUGAAAAAACUAAAUUAUGAGUUUUUAUUAGCUGUAAGCCAUAAUUAUUAAAAGUAACAAAACUAAAUACAUAAAAUAUAUAUUCUUGUCUGUAAUAAAUUUGUGCAAUAUGAGUUUUUUGAGGUGAAUCUCUGAAAUAAAUUAACUCUUCAAUGAUAUUCAAAUUUAUUAGGUUGCACUUGUACAAAAGUUAUGUACACUGUCCUAAUGUUGCAGAACACUGUGAAUUCUACACCCUUCAUCCAAAUGCAUUCAUGCUAUACCAAAAAGUGACAAACAAAUCUCAGGCAGAUGGUAGGAAUUGAUGUUACACAAAAUGUACUUAAUUCCACCCCUUUAGACCCAGGUAACAUUGUUUUUUUAAUCCAACAUACAGAACAUGAAAAAAUUGAAAACAAUGGUUUACUUUAGAUUGUCAGAUACAUUUUCCUUUGCACUGCAAAAAUACCUUCCUGACUGCUUUUCUGCUGUUUCCUUUCCGCAUGUGUGAAUGAGCGACUGUGGCUGAUGCUGUGCUCAGGUGAUGAAUGACCAGCCGUGGAUAAAGUACACAGCAAUAACCCCUAGGCAAUUCAAAGCACACUCAGGUGUGGAGUGGUGCAGAGGCAAACAGGAUGCUUUAACCAAACUGGACGACCUCGCUCUCUCUCCUCUCUCUCUGUGCAAAUGAGAGUGCGUGGGUUUGGGCAGCAUGGUGUAGGAAGCACAAACCCCGCUGAGCCCUGUGGGCUAUGAACACUCAUCAGCACAUGGAGAGCUGUUCGCUAUUUUCAAGGAAAUAUCUAUGCUUCCCCCUAUUACACAAAUGGGUCCACAGCAGCGCAAUAGUUUCCUCUGCAAUGCAGCUUGUUUAUUUCUAAUGAGAAGGCUAAUUGUUAAUUAUUUUCUUUCAAACUGUGGUGGUGGACCUGGACUCUCAAUCUGCUGUGGCAGGCGUCUUAAGGCUUGCAGUAGGGCUAAUGUGAUACUGAGACCUACGUGUUUAGUCUUGCUGUGGCAUUCUGUCACCCCCCAACACCCCAUCAGCCCACAAGCACAACAGGAAGGCAGCCCUUGAGGGACAUUACCAGUCCAACCUCUCAUAACAACCUAGCAUAACAUGUAAGCUGCCACUCUACGGAGGCAGGGAGCCCUGUUUUCUGACUUGCCCAGCUCUCCACAUCUCUCAGGGGGCUUGGCAGUGCCAAUGUAGGGGUGGCAGUGAGUGAUGACACCCACUGUGUUUAAUACAGUAUGGAAAUCUAGCACCAGAUGGGCAUCCACAGAUGUAUUGUGGCUGCAAAGUUCUGUAAACCCAGGUCUUUAGGAUGUUAAUUAUAGGUUGCCUUUGUAUGUCGUCUGCUGGCUGACAACAGCAGUACGGGUGCAUUUUAAUAAAUAAAAAUGAUCUAAAAUGUAAAUUACUUUAGUAAAUCAAUUGAAGAAGUGAAACACAUUGUACAGUUUAUACACAGAAUGAUAUAUUUCUAUUAAUUGUAAUUAUCAACCUCAUGUGUCAGAUAUAUCAGGUGUAGCUUUUUUGAUAAUCUGAAUAUUACAUAGGCCAAUAUAAAACUGUUGGGUUCUGGGAGUUGCUGACUUUAUUUUGUGCCUGCUAUUAACUGUGCUUCACCCCUAGGUUGUCCUCUGUUGGGUUAAGGACAGGUGUUUUCCAUCUCCGUGAUCAGCUGGGAGGUUUAAAAGGAGGAUGCUGAAAGUACUUCGAAGCCUCAGUGUUUUGCCUCUGUGGUACAUUCAACUGGCCAAAGUAAACGAACUCCAUGUUUAUGCUAAGCCUAGACUUAUUGAUUUGGUCCUUAGUUGCUUCCAGGUUCAGUUUUGGACACAGCUCAAGUUCCUUUGAAGAACCUACCAGCCUUCGCCUUUUCAUGCCAAGAAUUCAAGUUUGGAUAUUCCGUCAAGCUCCGCUGGUAGCAACUGGAGUCCAUAACCUCAGCUUCCUCCGAGCGAACCCUGUCCACCGUGCAAUGAGCGGCACCUCUGGACUCCAUCUGAAAGAACGCACCGAACCUAAGUUCCUUGGGAAGGAUCAGAACUUAAGUAACCAGGCUUACCAAGCUUACCAGACCCGGAACCUUAUCUCCUCCAGUGAGCCAUCCACACCUACAACUCCGAGGAGUUCCUGUCCCGGACCACGCCUUCCACGAUCCUGUGAUAAAAUAAACUCUUUGAACUUUAUAA